AUUGAACGCUGGCGGCAGGCCUAACACAUGCAAGUCGAGCGGAUGAAGGGAGCUUGCUCCUGGAUUCAGCGGCGGACGGGUGAGUAAUGCCUAGGAAUCUGCCUGGCAGUGGGGGAUAACGUCCGGAAACGGGCGCUAAUACCGCAUACGUCCUGAGGGUGAAAGUGGGGGAUCUUCGGACCUCACGCUAUCAGAUGAGCCUAGGUCGGAUUAGCUAGUUGGUGGGGUAAAGGCCUACCAAGGCGACGAUCCGUAACUGGUCUGAGAGGAUGAUCAGUCACACGGGAACUGAGACACGGUCCAGACGCCUACGAGAGGCAGCAGUGGGGAAUAUUGGACAAUGGGCGAAAGCCUGAUCCAGCCAGGCCGAGUGUGUGAAGAAGGUCUUCGGAUUGUAAAGCACUUUAAGUUGGGAGGAAGGGCAGUAGGUUAAUACCUUGCUGUUUUGACGUUACCAACAGAAUAAGCACCGGCUAACUUCGUG
rnacentral:rRNA from 1 species